AUUAGACACUAGGAACUGAAAUGGACGGAAAUUGAAUUAAAAGACUAACAACAAUGAAAACUAACUAAAUAAAAUAAUUUAAUAAUGGGGGGGGGUUUGGUUUUGACGAGAAGUAAAUUAAAUUUAAAUAAAUUACAGAAUUGACAAAAGCAUGAAAUUAAGGUGAAAGGAUAGGUGACAGACUAGCUAGAGGGUUCUUCUCCACACAUGACACAUAUGCAACCUAAAUUGAUUUUCAGUUGUUCUUUCAAUAAAUUGUAAAUCUCAACGCCCCAAAUUAACCGUGAAUUGCACUAAUUAAUCCUCAGUUUUUCCACAAGUUAUUGGGUUGGAUGAUUGCAUACGACAACCCAAAACAUUCCCUACAAGUUCCCUA
rnacentral:lncRNA from 1 species